CCAGACCGCUCCACUUUCAAGUUGCUUCCGUCGGGCCUGAUUAUUGCCAUUGCCAAAGUCGAGACAAACUAACUAGGUGUUGAUUUUGGCAUAACGUGACAGAACUUAUCACAGGAACAAGAAAGGAUAUCGAAAACGCGUGCGAAACUCGGCCCAAGUAUAGUUCAGGACUGUUGGACAAUCGCAAAGCGUUUCCGUUUCAUUUUGCUUUAGCAAGUUGUUGCCGAAUGCCGGCAUGGAAUUCUCUCUGUACGUAUUUCUGUUCACUCUGUUUAUUGCACAUGACAAGCUAAGCACAAGCUCAUCUCCAAGUCGAAACACAAGGAACGGAGUACAACAACUUCCACUCGACAAUAUCUCGCCUCCAACCUUUGCAAGCAAAGAUACUAAAACAAGUGCAGUUUUUAACAGUAAUUGUCAGUCUUUUAAUAAGUUUGGACGUUUUAGUUCUUGGACCUGCAAUACUCCACGUGGGAUAAACUUUGUAUUAGCAAAAUUAGUUAUUAAACCGUCGAUGAGAAUCCAAGAAUAUCGUUACAGGAUACUGGUUUUUGGAGAACUAUCUACAACAGAAACCGGUGACACAAUUUUAGAUGAUGCAACUUCAUACCAAACGUGGAUUUAUUACGAAGAAACAGACUCUUGGAAAAUGAUUGCUAGUGUUGCCCAUGGCCUUCCAUCGAAUACCUGGUUACGUCUUGUGACAAUUUGUAGUUCACACGCCAUCAUUCUGUCUCCUGAUGCUAUCAACAGCACUUGGAUAUUUGUGUUCGAACAACUGAGAUGGAAACGAGUCGCGAUUGUGGGCGAUGGGCCAAGUUGGACAGAUAUUCCUUAUGACAUUUUUGCAGUGUCCGUGGAAAGAGAACAUUCUUUGUGCUCCUGUAGUCAGGAUGUUUUCAUUUUCUACGUUAUUGGCGAUAGAAAUCAUUCUGUCGGCUACAGACUGAGCUGUGUGAUAGAACAGACAACAUAUCGUUGGG